UGAGUCUAGUGACACCCAUCCUGUGCGCUGCCGGUGACGUCAUGGCGGGUGUCGUCAUCAGCAGCACUACAGACGAGCACGCGAGAAGAGUUCGAUUCAUUCGUGGUUUUUGGAUCAACGAGCUGAAAGAAUCCAACAUGGCAGGACGGGAACAAGAAUGCAAACAAACAGACGCGGAUAAAGGAAUAGUGAUCCCAGAUGACUGGCCCGGUUACCCGCUGGACCUGUUCUCUUUUCCCGAGCAUUACUCCGAGGAUCUGGAGUGCGUCUACAUCCCACACGGUGUUAUCAUGGACAGGACAGAGAGACUGGCCAGAAAUAUCAUGGAUGAUCUUGGCGAUCAUGACAUCGUGGUGCUGUGCGUGCUGAAGGGAGGUUAUCAGUUCUGCGCUGACCUGGUGGACUGCAUCAAAGUCCUGUGCCGAAACUCCAACAAGACCCUUCCCAUGAGGGUGGACUUCAUCCGGCUCAAGAGCUACCUGAAUGACCAGUCAACUCAAGUUCUUCACAUAGAAGGAGCAGAGAACCUGUCUGCGCUGAGUGGAAAGAACGUCCUGAUUGUGGAGGCCAUCGUGGACACAGGAAAGACAAUGAAGACUCUGCUGGAUCACGUUGAAGCCUUCAGGCCCAAGAUGAUCAAAGUAGCUGGUUUGCUGGUGAAACAGGUGCCCAGUGGGACAGGAUAUCUGCCAGACUAUGUUGGAUUUGAGAUCCCCAAUCGUUUUGUGGUCGGCUAUGCCCUGGAUUACAACGAAUACUUCAGAGAUCUCAAUACGAAGGACUCGCCCCGUGUGUCUACAUAUUCACAGUCUGGACGCGACAACUGGUGUGAGAUCAGCGGCUCGAGAAACAUAUGCAGAACUUCUCAUUGAAGCAGAAGCGAGUUUGUUUGCUAGAACUGCAGUGACGUAUUACUGCGCCGAGCCUGUAAUGUCUACCCAAAGCGUGAAAUGACAGACAGCAUUAGCACUGCGAGAAUUAGGGAAGAAGAGUCUCUCUGCAGCUGCACAGCUGCACAGUUGUCCAUUUGUCUCCAUUUGGAGGCCCGGUUGCUAGGGCACAUCUGUGUGAUCAGUGACAGAGGGAAACAGAAAUACAAGAUCUGAAGAAGAUGAUCUCACUCAUAUACAAGCUUCUGAAGGUUCACUGGAGGAUCAAAAGAAGGUCUCCUGUUCUCCUCCUUGCGUUCGAUAUGGACCGGUUUCCCCGGUUAAAAAUGAAGUACUGGGUUACAACUUCACACAUGUGCCCUAUGCAUGCAGUAGUAAGCAGAAAUAGCAUACUAACUACUACUCUCACUGUAAUAUAUAUGUUAGUAUGCUAUUUAGAUAUUAAAGGAUAGUUGACCAGAAGAUUUAUAGGUUUGGAACGAUGAUGAAUGAUAACAAAAUUAACAUUUUUGAGUGAACUGUCCCUUUAAGACUUAAGUGUGUCUCAUUUUAACAAGUGGCCAUCAUAAUAGGGUGUUGUUACAAUGCAAAUAUGAAUUGUGUUCCAUUCAAUAAUGGAAAGCUGUUUACUUCUACUGUUAAUUAAUAAUACACUGAAUAUUCACCAGCAGAAGCUAUAAUAUGUGAACUACAACUUAAGAAACUGUUAACCAACUUUUAUGGAAGUUUACAUUUAUGUGAAUUUUAUACAUUUUAUAAUAUUUCCAUGUAAUGACAUUAAAAUGUUAUGCAUUUGUAUUCAUCACUUGCGUCAUUUGUAGUUGUUCUGUUUUGAACAGUAGAGAUGAAAGCCUGCUUGUUUGGUUAUGGAUGACUUUCUGUGGUAUUGUUACCUCAUAAGGCGACUCAGACAUGCCACACACCUGUACACACACACAAUGGGAUGAAGUAGAACAGAGUUUGCCUGGGUGUGUUAUGUAAGCGCGUCUGUUGCUCAUUGUUUUCUCUGGCCAGCCUCUUCUGCUCAUCUGACUGCUGCUCGUGUUCAGCGCAGGUCAAUUAUGUAGCGUGUUUCUGUCAGAUAUAUAUUGUCCAGUUUCGAGUGUAUCUGCAGUGAAAGUGCCCUUAAGUCAUGCACAACAGGUAUGACAGUAAUAUCAGGUUCAUAUUUGUCACUGUACUCUUUGGAAAACUCUGAUGUUGGCUUGACAAAGCAUUGCUUGAUCUUAAAAGGCUUUGAAGUUGUAAGCUUGUAUAGACCUUAUGUCAUUUGAAUGCUUUAACUCUUUUGACCCGGAAGAGAUACGAGAUUUUUUUUUUUUUAAUUCAUAAUUUUUAUUAAAGGAACAAAACUUUUUAAAUGCUUUUUUUUUUUCAGAUUUCCUAGUUAUUUUUUAGUAGAUAGCAUUUAAAAAAAAAAAAAAAAAGUUACACGUUUCGUAUUUCAGUUCAUUUUGUACCCAAGUAUGUAUGGAGUACCAAAAGGUGUUAAACAUACUUUUAUUAAAAUGAUCUAUAAAGUUAUAUAGUCAUUUCCCCCAUAUCUCACACACUUUU